UUCACCAUCACACCCCAAAACUCCUCAGCCCAUCUCCACCGCGUCUCUCUCUUCCCUAUUAGUGGGUAAUUUGGCCAAGGACAAAAACAUUGAGAAAGCUGUAAAAAGGCUGGCGUCCCCAUUUAAAGUCAGACCCUCUUUGAUACAUGCACGGCCACAUUCCACAUCCACAACUUUAAACAAGCCAGCUGGAUCCCUUUCUUCCUCACCUGCGCUUGUAGGAUCCCCCUUCACCCUCGAAGCCUCCCCCUCCUCCUCCUCCUCCUCCCUCCCAGUAGCAGGACCCUCUUCCCCACACCCAACUGUGGAAACCUCCAUCAAUCCUCCACAGACACCACCAGCCUUUGGCCCUAAAGCCAGUGAGGAGUUCUCCACCGCUGCAGGUCCAAAAACUCCCACCACAUUUCUACCCGUGUCGAGUGAAGUGGACGACAGCACGCUUCUGGCAGAAGCACUCAGAUGGGAUAAAUCUCACUCAGCAACACAAAGAGUGUGUCUUCCAGCCGGCUGGCUCCA